rnacentral:rRNA from 1 species
ACAAAUUAGAGUGCUUAAAGCAGGCUACCUUCGCCUGAAUACUGUGUGCAUGGAAUAAUGGAAUAGGACCUCGGUUCUAUUUUGUUGGUUUUCGGAGCCCCGAGGUAAUGAUUAAUAGGGACAGAUGGGGGCAUUCGUAUUGCGACGUUAGAGGUGAAAUUCUUGGAUCGUUGCAAGACGGACAGAAGCGAAAGCAUUUGCCAAAAAUGUUUUCAUUAAUCAAGAACGAAAGUUAGAGGUUCGAAGGCGAUCAGAUACCGCCCUAGUUCUAACCAUAAACGAUGCCAGCCAGCGAUCCGCCGAAGUUCCUCCGAUGACUCGGCGGGCAGCUUCCGGGAAACCAAAGCUUUUGGGUUCCGGGGGAAGUAUGGUUGCAAAGCUGAAACUUAAAGGAAUUGACGGAAGGGCACCACCAGGAGUGGAGCUGCGGCUUAAUUUGACUCAACACGGGAAACCUCACCAGGCCCGGACACCGGAAGGAUUGACAGAUUGAUAGCUCUUUCUUGAUUCGGUGGGUGGUGGUGCAUGGCCGUUCUUAGUUGGUGGAGCG